UUCCCUAUGAAUUCUCUUGCAGCGUUCAGAAAAGAGCAAGGGCGAGGGGUCCUAGUAGAACAAGACUCAGUUGCUGUUUGUGCCCGACAGGACUGUGGUCAAGCCGAUCAAUCCAAUCCUCCCAUCCUUGCAGGGACGAACAUUUUGGAGACAAAUUCUUCACUGAAUGUAUUGUUUUAAAGUUCAUCUAGUCGAUUUUUUAUUUUUUUAGUGCUUACUAUGUGUUUGGGACUAGGCACCACCAUAGAUGAGCAAAACUCAAUCCAGAAGUUUACAGACAUUUAAAACAUCACAGGAAUUGAACUAAAACCCACAGAGUAAAAUGCACUGUGUGGUAUCAAGUGUAGCUGGGAGAUGCUUACUCGGAUUUCCCCAGUUCUAUUAACUGUUUCUGACACUUAGAAUUUCUAGGAACUGCCCGAAGGGAUGAUGUGUCACUCAGAUUAAUAACUGCAUCUUAUAUAAAUGAAAUACAUAUGGUCUAACUAAUUUUAUGCUCUGUCCCCUUCCUACCAGUUGCCACAGUGGACACUUCGGGGCACUGAGGUGAUGUAAACUGUGUCUCUAAGCUAUGUCUUCCGUGUAAUGGGUACACUUGGUAGUACCAUCAAGGUAUGCUGUAUAAUGUGCUAAGAGCAUCUUUGCUGGUCCUUAAAGUCAACAGUAAAUUGAGUAAUAAUAAUAAUAAUAAAACGACAGUGGCAUUAUUAAAAUAUUUUACUGAAAAAUUAAAAAGAAGCUUACCAUGUUCCUUUGAGACUGAAAACAUGUUUUAUUCCCAUCUUGCUGUUUUUACAAGAACACUGCCAAAGUUGAUGGCUCUGUGACUACCUUAAAAAAAAAAAAAGGUAAGCAUGCUUCCCAGCAAACAAGCAACUUUGUGCCUGGAGAAAAAAGACCCAGUUUAAAACAAACAUGCCAGUUUCUGUUGUAGCAAUUUGAGUGGGUUUAGUUUAUUAUUUAUGGCCCAGGUAGAAAAUGAAGGGGCACCAUACCUGACAACCUGUUGCUUCCCAAACAAAUCAUAAAGGCAGUUUGUAUGCAGAAGGCUGUAUGUCAAUGCUGGCUUCUGUCGAGUGUAAUGGUGAAUGACAUAUUUUCACAUGCUUUAGUUGUUCGGCUCAGAGGAACCCUAAACAAGAGUAGACUUGUUUUCUAAUUGGUCUACUGCAGAGCUCUGCUGACUCUGUAGUACUCCUUUCAGUUUCAAAUGAAAAAUUAAACAACAACAAAGCUAGGAAUCAUUUAAAAAUCCACUUUCUGUCUAUGCUCAUACUAACUUGCAUUUCUGUUCUCUGUUAAACACAGAUUUCCUCUGUCAUCCUUGUCCUAACCCACCACUUGCCAAGUACUACUACUAGACUCUUGAUGCACACAGUUCAGUGCCAGCUUGGUUUGUACACAUUCCGUGACUCAGUUCCAGGUCUCAGCUAACGACUUAAAAAUCAAUGCAGUUUCCCGGGAGUAUUCCUCCGUGAUUGAGACUGAUGGUAAAUUACAUAUGGAGCAGCGUAGCUCAGACAGCUAUGCCUUUCUUCCAAACAUCAUAAACUUUACCAAGAAUCACCAGUGUGGCUUACUCCUGUAAUCCCAGCUAAGGUACAGCAAUUUCCAUGGAUACAAGGAAAGCUGAGGCUAUAGAGUGACCACCUGUCUCAAAAGAUCCUGGGCUCAGGCCCUUCUCAGCCAACCUGAGCUUUAUGCUCCUCUUCCUCCUCUGUCUGCCUUCUACCUCCUUGAGCAGAGAUUCUUCUCAUCCUUCACAUUUCAUCCUGAGUAAAACCAGAAGACUCAACUGAUACCUUAAACAAUGGUAAGCCCCUUUAAAGCACACCACUGUGGUCUACAGUGCCUGUGCAUGGUUGCGUUUAGCAGCAGUGUGGUCACACUAAAUACUUAUUGAAAGUUUUCUCUAUGCUGAGACUUUCUCUAGGUGAAAAAAAUAAACCUACAAUGAUGAAAAUAAUUAGAAGUAUCCAGUCCUUGUGGGUCUUAUGGUCUUGUAGGUGGCAGUAGGGUGAGGCAUGGGGUGGCACCGAAUAAGGAAAUAAAUAUAAAUUAUAUGACAAAUCAACUGGUAAUAACAGCCACAUACAGAACAAGCACAUGAGGAGGAUUUAGGCAUGUUGGGAGUGGGCAUGUGGCUAUACUUUUAAAGGCUGAUCAUGGAAAGUAAAGUGUGUGUGUGUGUGUGUGUGUGUGUGUGUGUGUGUGUGUGUGUGUGUGUGUAGAUGCAUGUACAAGUGCAGCCUGUGAAUCUCCAAGAACUGGAGGAACAAGUGGUUGUGAGCCAGUCAGUGUGGGUGCUGGGAACGAAAACUGAGUCCUCUACAAGAGGACCUUUUAACUACUGAACCCUCUCUAGAUUUCCAGCUUCAGAAAUCUAUACAUUUUAAGAACACUGACAUACAUUCUUUGAUCUCUCUUUCCUUUGCUAGCGUCAAUACAGGCAAAGAUGCCACCUGUUGUUGAAAGAAUGAUCACUGCUAACUCUGCUUUCAGAGCCCACUUACUUUCCAGCCAGACACAUGGUAGCUUGCUGAAAAUGACUUGGCUGGUAAAAUCUGGCUUUCUUCCUCUGUUUUCUCUGUAGCAAUGUUUUCUGUAAUCCAUCACACAAAGGGGGAGUCUUCUCAGCGCGGACUUGUCCUCUAUAAGACCUAUCAGCAGGACACCAGCCAAGAAUUCCUAAGAGGAUGUACACUUGUCUGGAUCUUCCAAUGAUCUCUCCCCAGACCACAUGCCUGAGGACAUGUGCCUGCUGGGAAUGUUAGAACUCCUUGAGUUUUAACUGGGAUCAGAGUCUCUGCCCUGACCCCAGCUUGCUGCUCCCAUAAGAAACCCUUUGAAUGGGCGGGGCCAGAGUCCCGAGGGAAGGUAUGCUUGUAACUGUUACUAUGUAUUCAUCUUAGAAACAGUGCCAGAUAUGUUUAGCAUGAGGCAGUGUGUUUGAUUUCAAGAGGCUUGAAUGGAAAAUGAAAGCUGACUAAAAAGCCUGGAAGUGAAGAGCUUGGGCCCUUAGCAAUCUAAGAGGAGCAGGGCAAGAGGCCAUUAGUGCUCCGAAUGUGUUGGCAUUGAAAAGAACAGGGAAUCAGGCGUGGAUACCAACAGUGUUUAACAGAGGCAUGGCUAAAGAGUAGCUGGAUCAGGGUAGCAACUGGGGUUUAAAUUUUCCUUCUUAGAAUACAGACAUGAAAAGCAUCCUGGAGGUGAAUCAUGGGAGCUUGGCUGAUCGAAUUCCUUCCACUAGGGAAGCCAAGAUCUGAAGGACAAGCACAAUCCUUCUUCCCUAACACCCAUUAUAUCCUUCAAGUCCUAAAUUCACACAACUAAAAACAAAACUGUCCUCCUCCUACAUUUUGCAAGUGAUUCUUAUCUUACACUGAAAUAACUGUGUUUCCCUAUCUCCUUGCCAUUAAUUUUCCUUCCACUCUCCAUGAUGACCAGAUUGGGCUCCUAAAAAUAAUACUGCACAAACAUGACCUAGUUAUGUGUUUCUUUGCAUAGUUAUACCUACAUCUUGCAUAAACACACCAAUUUGCCACCCUUUUCUCUUAGAAACUCUCUUUUAACGUAGGAAUAAAACUUAAGUACUUUGAAAGAGUGCCUGUACUGGUUACUUUUUUUUUUGGCAACUUGACAUAAACCGGAGUACCUGGGAAGUGGGAAUUUCAGCUGAGGAAUUGUCUCCAGACUGGCCUGUGGACAUGUCUGCAGAGCAGUUUCUUAAUUGCUAAAUGAUAUAGGAGGGCUUAGCUCAUUGUGGGUGGUGCCACCCCUCAGCAGGUGGUACCAUGUUUUAUAGGAAAUGUAACUGAGUAAGACAGAGAAGGAAAGCCGGUAAGCAGUGUUCCUCCAUGGUUUCUGCUUCAGUUACUGCUUCCAGGUUACUUCUUGAGUUUCUGCCUUGGCUCAGCUUAAUGCUAGACUCUAGCCUGUAAGUCAAAUAUUUCCUUUCCUCCUCAAGUUGCUUUUGUUCAUGGCAUUUUUAUCAUAGCAAUAGGAUAGCAAGCUAGAAAAAUGCUAUGGUUUGGAAAUGUUCACCAAAAGCCUAGAGUAAGUGUGACGGGCCUAAAUCUCCUCUAGCAUGGUUAGGAGGUGAUGUAACCUUUAGGAGGAUCUAGUGGGAAGAAGUAGGGAACUUGCUCUUGAAGAGGACAUUAUGAUCCCACAAUUCUCUUUUCUUUUUCUAUUCUCAGGCCACCACCAGGUUAGCAUGUUUCUUGUGCUAUACGUUUUUGUCAUGAAGCACUGCCUUGCCACUCUCCCAAAAGUCAUGAGGCCAAACAACUAUGGCCUGAAGCCUCUGAAAUAAUAGCCAGCAUGAACCUUUCACAUUAUGGCUUGAUUUUUCUCAGGCAUUUCUUUUUUUAUGUUUGUUUUUCAAGAAAGUGUUUUUUUGUGUAGCUUUGGCUGUCCCAGACUAGCUCUGUAGACCAGGCUGGCCUUGAACUCAGAAAGACCCACCUGUAUUUGCCUCCUGAGUGUUGGGAUUAAAGGCGUGUGCCACAACUGCCUAGCUCAGUAUUUCUUAUAGUGACAAGACAAAACCAAAACCAAAAACCUAACUACCACCAAGUGGUCCCCAAAGUUUUCACCUGCUACUUCAAAAGUUACUUUCAGCCAUGCUUUUUCCAUUUCUCAAAAAUACACAAUUUCUUUCUAUACUGUGAAAAAUGGUCACAUUGGUGAUCCCUUAGGAAUUCUCCUUCAGUCGGUUCUUUUUAGCUCUAUGGUUUGUGGAAGGGCCCAGCCUGUCAGAACAGCUCAGUGAGCUGCUGCCAGGCACUUCACAGUUCUGAGGGAAGCAGAGAUUACCUGGUCUGUCAUUGGGCUUGUGUAGUUUGACAGCCUCAACAUUACAUGGUACGGCACUUUUAUUGGUGAUGUCACAUCUCCUUGAGAUUGUGUUUCCAGGAUUUAUGGUGGUAAAACAUGGCAGUGAAAAAUCUAAGUGAAAGAAACAAAGCUGCUGAUAUUCAACAAGACUGGGGUCUGAAGAAUUAAAGAGCACCAGCUGCCUUUUAGUACAUACACAUUACCAAGUGCCUGGCUACUUAAGGAUGAAGUAAAAAUACUGCUUCUAAUGUAUAUGCUCUACUUCUGAAACGGCUGUAGUUAAUUCCCACUAUUUGAUGUGGUUGUAUCCUGGGAACUCCCCAGGGAUUCUGAGAUCCUGAACACUAAACUGUGCCAUGGUUAUGAGAACAAGAUAGGCCAUUGGUCUCUCCAUUCCUUUUAGUUGUGGUUUGAAUUUAAGAUGUCUCCACAAACUUGUGUAUCUAAAUACUUAGUCAGCAGUGGAUUGUGAUGUUUGUGGAAGGCUGUGGAACUUUGAGGAGAUGAGGCCUCUCUGGAGGAAGGAGAUCUCUUGAGGAGAGGCUUUAGAGUCUAUCUCUCAGCUCCAAUUUCCACCUCUGAAAGUCUCUCUGAGCUUCUUGAUACACUGGCAUGUAGUAGACCAUGAUCUCUUCUCAAGUUUCAGUCAUCAAUGCUAGUAGACAUUUCCACCACCGUGCCUUCUCCUCCAUUACAGACUGUGUCCCCUUUAAACAAAGCCAAAGUAAAUCCUCCCUAGAGUUGCUUUUUGUCAAGUAUUUGGUGGUAGCAUUGAGAAAAGCAGUACACCUGGGAUAGGAAAUUGUGUUCUGUAUGUACUAAUGCUCACAGUCAUUGUUAAGAGUAAAUGCAAUUUGCAGAAUGAUAAAAGAGACUGGCAAUAUCCACACAUCAACAAAUAACAGAGAUCAUCCCUACAGAAAACAGACAAGAAGACUGAAUAAAGGCCUUAUGAAAAGAAGAUGUAAAAUGAACAAUUCUUGGUUUACUAUAGAUUUAAAAAAAUGUUAUCUGUUUUGUGAUCACUGCUGGUAUAUUAGUUGGCUUGAAUCAAUUUUAAAUGUGUUUUCAUAUCUUAUCUGGUUCAGCAUUGCCAAUGUAAAAGCAGUUUGUGUUCUCUGUGAAGAGUCUUGGGGCUUGAGCUCUCAGGAGUAGGUUGUUCACUAAGAAGAUCACUAAUAAAUGAGGAGACCUCUAAGUCAACAGACAUAUGAGCUGUAAGUCAGAAACAAAAGAAAGCCACAAAAUCAGGCAACAGAAUCCUUCCAAAAGAUCCUAACCCAUCAGCUUUGAGUCUGCAUGGACAAAUGUCUGAGGAAGAGUUCACAGGUUUAUAAGGAAAAGUUAUUAAUGACCCCAUAAACAACAACGUGGGUAAAGCAAGGGAAUGGAUUCAGGUCCUGGAGACAAAAUUCACAAACACAGGGAAGAAAAUUUCCAAAAUGGAUGAGUAAAUCAGCAUUAUGCAUGAAAAAUCUGGUAAGACAGAGAAAGAAAAUUCAGCAAGGAAUAUGAGACUUUUGAAAAAAAAAAAGAAAUGUCAGAAAUGAAGGCUCAGUUUAUCAAAUGAUAAACACAGUCAUACACCUGGCCAGGCAGACAUUUUUCAAGGACUAAGAAUGAGAUUGAGAAAAACUCAACUCAAACAUCAAUAAAGAAAAUACUAAGUAUGCCUAGAAUGUCUAAUAACAAUGAGAUAAUCAAGAAAUAAAACUUAUACAUUCACAUGGGAAGAAGAAAGGGUUCAUAUAGAGAGCAAAGGCAGAAUUUAUUUGAAAUUAUAGUAGAAAACUCCCCAAAUCUAGAGAAAGACAUUGAUAUUCAAACACAAGUAACAUUUAGAACCACAAAAAGGCAAAACUAGAGAAGGACCCUACCUCGGCACAGUGUCAAAAGUACAAAAUAAAGAAACAAGGUUAAAAGCUAUAAGGGAAAAGUGCUAAUUCACCUGCAAUGGAAGAAAUGUCAGAAUUACACCAGAUGGCUCAUUAGUAGGCUUAAAAACCAAGAAAGUGUGGAAAGAUGUAUUCCAAACCCUGAAAGUAAAUAACUGCCAAGUAAAGAUUACCAUACCUAGCAAAGUUUUCUUUUAAAAUUGAUGGAGAAAUGGACAAUUCCAAACUCAUAUGAAUUCAGCUCAUGACCACCAAUCCAUCACUGAAGGUAACAGUUGAAGGAAUGCUAUAUGCAGAAGAAAAAGGAUAGUGUCCAUCAAAAGAACACAGGAAAGGAUAACUUUCUAGAGAUGAAAAGAUGAGCAAAGGAAAAAAACAGAAAGAGAUCCAUUAUUUCCAACAUAGUAAAUUAGCAGCUAACCCAGUUAUGAAUGAGAGAGAAAGAAAAGAACAAAUAAUUCCCAAACAACCAGAGAUUGUUUAGAAGUUUCAUCUUAGAUUAAAACCUUCUACCUCAGUGGUAAACUCCUUAAGAUGCAGGGUGUUACAGGGGAGGCCAAACAAUGGAUGUUCUAAGGGAAGGUGAAACAUUCCACUUGCAAGGAAGCUUCUUAAUCUCAGGAAGCAAACAACUCAAAGGCUGAAGCCUUGAAAGGAAAUCCCCAAAAUGGACUAGAUUCACUAGGCUCCUCCUUCCUCAAGCAUACAUCUGCUGUAAGGACUUCUGAGAGACAGUCUUACACAAACUGAGCUGCCUAGAAAGAGUCUUAGACCAGCUGAGACACCUGGAAAAAGUGGAGCUCCAACAAUUGGCCUAGAACUAGCCACAGUACCUGGAAGAUGCUCAGAAGACCAAGUGAAGCACCUGGGCAGGGCAUUCUCUGACCUGUGAAGCUGCUGGAAGGUAGUACAGCGUGGUCCAGAUUUCUAGCAUUUAUUAACUGCCAUUAGUGCUAGGGUUGGCUUUGGUGAUACAUCUGUCUUUGAGGCAUUUUGGUUACUGCAAGUAACCACUCACUCAUGGUCCUGCAAAAUUUAUUGGUUCACCAUGGAUUGUGGUGAUACCUGUGGUGAUACAGAUACUUUGAUCUGUUGGAAGUUCCCUAUAUGGGAUGAGUAGUCAUUUGAUAAUGUCUCCUCAAGAAUAGUAUCAAAUAAUAAGACAAAAGCAAUAAAAUUAUAAGAAUUAGUAAACAUAUCCCAAUAAUAAUCUUAAAUAUAAAUGAUUUCAACUCACCAACAAAAAUGCACACUAGUUGACUAGUUAGCCUGGGAUCUGUGAGACUCUGUUUCAAAAAACAACAACAAAUCCAAGAUCUCAAGUAAGUAAUCUAAUAAUGCACUUCAGGGUCUUAGAAAAAUAACAGACUAAAUUCCAAGCAGUAGAUGUGAGGAUAAUAAAGAUUGAGGUAGAAAUCAAUGAAAUACAGAUGGAAAGAGCAAUAUAGAGAAUCAAAGAAUUAUUUGAAGAAAAAAAUGACAAGUUCUGCCCAGAUUAACCAAAAGAAAGAGAGGACUGCAUUUAAAACAAUUAGAGAUGAAACAGUGACUUUUCCAGCAAAGUCCAAUGAAAUUCAGAGGAUCUGAAUGAAUAACCAAGCCAUGUUUGAAAGAUAUUCAACAUCCUCAGCCAUCAGGAAUUCACAAAUUAAAACUCCCUGGAGAUUCCUCUUCAUUGGAGUUAGAAUGGGAGUGUAAACAGAUGUAGCCCCUGUGGAUGUCAAUGCGUAGGUUCCUCAAAUCUAAAAAUGGAACUUCAGUAUGAUCUAGCUAUGCCACUCCUGGGUAUAUUCCUAAGGAAUCUAAGUUAGCAUACCAUAGAUAAUUGCAUAUCCAUGUCAUUGUUGUAUUACUCACAAUAGCCAAGUCAUGGAAGCAGGGUAGAUUUGAAUCAGUAGAAGUAUGAAGUCAGAGAUGAUAGCACAUAUUCACAAUGGAAUUUUUUUCAAGUGUAAAAAAUUGAAGUCAUGACAUUUGAAGUAAAAUGGAUAGAACUGGAGAUCAUUAUGAUAAAUGAAGUAAGUCACAUUCAGCAGACAAAUAUCACUUUUUCUCUUAGCAAAAUCUAGAUUUAAGAUACACACACACACACACACACACACGGUAUGAAAAAGGCAUGGUGAGAGCAACAAAAAGGGUCUAAAAAGCAGAUAGGGUGAAAUUUCCGAAGAAUCAAUAAGCAAUACAUAUGAAAUAUACAAGUGAAAUCUGUAAUUACUCUGUAUGAUGAAAUAACUAAAAUUUCUUUAAGGACUGAUAAUAUCAAUAACUAAAACUGAGAAUUUUAAACAAUGUUAUUUUCAUUAUCCUGAGUUGAAUGCAUUGUGAAGCCCUUCAAACAUAAAGCAUAAAUAACAAGAUAGUAAUACAUUCAGUAUUUUUAAAAGACUCACUUUAUUUUAAUUAUGUGUAUGUGUAUGUCUUCAUGUGGGUAUUCCCACAUGAGUAGGGGUGCCUGCAGAGGCCAGAAGAGGGUGUCAGAUUCCCAAAGCUAAAGUUGCAGGAGGUUGUGAGGUGCCUGAUGAAGAUGUGAAAACCACAUCUGGGUCCUCUACAAGAGCAGCAAGUGCUCUUAACAAUUGGGCCAUCUCUCCAGCACCAUGUUUGAUCAUUUUAUAGUUUGCAUUUAAAUUUAUUUUGAGUUGUUAGGUGUGAGGUUAAAAUUGAGGAUCAUUUUUAAUCAUUUAAAAAUAUUUGAUGUUUAUGGAUUUUGCCUGUACAUAAAUGUCUUUGCACCAUAAUCCCCUGCAACUGGAGUUGCAGCCACCUGUGAGCCACCAUGUGGGUGGUGGGUGGUGGGAAUCCAUUCCAGGUCUCUGGAAGAAACACCAGUAUUUUUUAUUUCCUUCCCAACCUUAACAUCAUAUAGUAUUGGCCACUGCUGCUCUGUCUUAUGAUGGGGGUGAUCCUUCCUACCCCAUUAGGAAGUGGUAACUCUCAAGUCAUCCUUCAUUUUCAUCAGAAAUUCAGUUAUUUCAUGAAGUUUUGUUGUCUUUCCAAGUACAUUUUAGAAUCUUGUUUGAAUCUGCAAAGAUUAUCCCUGGGAAUUAAUAGGUUUUAUUUUUUGUUUUCUUCUCAUAUCCUUUUAAAAGGAAUUAACAUUUUUACUGCAUUAUUUCAAUUUGCAAAAGUAUAUGAUUUCACUAGAUACUUAUAGCUUCUUAAACUGUUUUCCUUGGCAUUUUGUGAUUUUCAACAUGCAACUCCUAUACAGGCGAUGCUAGAUUUAUCCCUAGGAAUUUCCUUCUUAAAAUAUCGGUUUCAGUGUGCUCCUUGCUAUUAUAUGGAAAUAAAAAUGAUUUCUGCAUACUAAUCUUGCAUCUUACAGCCUUACUGAAUUUACUUAUUCGAGAAGUUUUGGUGGAUACUUUUGGGUUCUCUAUGUUGAUCAUCAUGACACUGGUAAAUGUGGACAGUAUUUUCUAUUUCCUUAUAAUCUGUUCAUCUCUUUGCUGUAGCUAGAACUUUCAAUAGAAAGUAAAAUUGCUGUGCUCAUAACAGACAGCCGUGCUUUGCUUCCAAAGUUAAGAAUAAAACAUUCAGUUCUCACAAUGAAGUGUGAUAUCAGCAGUGGGUCUUUAAAAUGGUAUUUAUCCACCAAAGUAGAUGCCUCAGGGAAUGCCUGGUACUGUAAUCCUGGUGAAAGUCAACAGCUGUUGAGGCUGUAGGACCUAGGGUAGAACUGCUGUUGUUAUUUUACCAAGCAGCCAUGCUAUCAAAGUGCCUUCUAAAUAUUUGUGCUUGCACUCAACCAUGGUCACAGAAGCUUCUCUCUGCAGUGGACAGCAGAGUGUAAGUGGUCAAAGUGCUGAAACUAAGUGAUGGAGUGCUCAGCUUUCAAUGAGACAUCCAUGUUCACCCUACAACCACCACCACCACCAACAAGCCUCAGGGAACAUCAUGGAAGAAAGUCGUAAAGAACGUAAGAGCUGGGGGAUGAGUAGUGGUUUUGUGAGUGCUUUCUGCUGGACACGACAUGGCUAUUGCAAUCACGGACACGCAGCAGCUGGGUUUACUAGCACAAGACCUGUACAUGAUCAAGCCAGACAAAAGUCCCAACAUAGAUGAUGGGAUAGAUGAUCUGAAGGCCCCAUCCCUUAUUGAUGAAGUGUUAGCAGUGGAUAGGUGCUGGAGAAGAGAGAAUCAUGCUUUUUGAGGGUGAGGUCAUUAAUAGAUUUCCACUGUUCCAGUGAAUGCCCUACACCUGUGUAUAUAUGAAGAGCAGCAGCUGGACUAACGGGGUUAUCAAAAAACAAAAGCAAGUAAACAAAGAAGACAUGAAGAUGGGAAAGGGCAGGUUGGAAGGGAUAUGGGAG